rnacentral:lncRNA from 13 species
AACAGAUAUUUGGUAGAGUACUGUGUUAUUACAAGUUCAUGAAGGGGAGUGUGUGUGUAUGUGUGGGACGUGGGGGGACGGGGGGGUGUGUGUGUGUGUGUGGUGUGUAUGUGUUAACCAGAGGGAACAACACACAGAAAGCAAUACUUUUACGAGGGAGGGAAAGACCUUCAGCUGAAUCGUAAAUAAUGGCGGUUUCACGAUUUAGUAAAUCCAGACCUUCCUGUCUUUGGGAGUGACACCUUACUGAUGGGCACGUGGCCGCAGUGUCCCGGGCCCUCCCAUUGUGAUGUCAUAAUGAGAGAUGGGGAGACAGGGCCAAACAGAAAGUACGGGAGGAAGUGAUAGAUUUAGCCCAGAUGGCACCAGGUGCUGGGAGACAGCGGGAGAUGUGUUAACACCUCUAAAGCAUCACUGUGCUACACUAAAUACUGCAGGCUGGAUGGACUCUAUAGUACUGUUCCAAUUUAUAUCAAGUGGUGCUCAAAUGAUUUACUUCACCUUGUACAAAUGGCAGUCCAGCAUAUGGGUAGACAUUAUUUCAUAGUACAAAUAACUGUAAUAUCAGUUGGUAGAAUUGGACCCAUAAUGCUGUUGUCUGUGGCUGCGCAGAAUACCCUGGAAUAAAUGUACUGAUAACUAACAUACUUACAUUCAGUCCAGUAGAUAGUCAUCUGUGUAUGUCAGUAUAAUGGGUCCUCAUCAGUCCCUCCCGUCCUGAGAAGUGUCUGGCAUGACUGGACUAAGCCACUGUGACAGCGGUGACAGAGUGCUGGUUAGAGUUGUUAAACCUUAAGCAUAUAAAUCUGUGUAGAUUCUGUGUGUAGAGGAAGAGGGAUUGGGAGAGAUGGAGAGAGAGGGAAGAGGAGGACAGACGCAAAGAUGAAGUCCUACAGAGAGAGAAUUACUAAGAGUGUGAGAGCGAUACUGAGAGGAAGAGACUCUGAGAAAGAGAAAUAUAGAGAGAAAAGAAAACAGAAUCCAUCUGUCUCAUGAGGCAGGAGCGAGAGAGAGAAAGGAAGAGAGAGAGGGAGAGAGCAUCAUUAAGAGGAGUGAGCACCAUUAGGGGUUUUGGAGGGAGGCAAACAAACAGAGAAAUACAAGGCUCCCCCUGGCAUCUCCUCAGACUGGCAUCAAAUCCCCCGCUGGCAUCUCCUCAACCUGGCAUCAAAUCCCCCGCUGGCAUCUCCUCAACCUGGCAUCAAAUCUCUCCCUGGCAUCUCCUCAGACUGGAGUCAACUCUCCCCUUUAUCUCCUCAGACUGGCAUCAACUCUCCCCCUGGCAUCUCCUCAGACUGGCAUCAACUCUNNNNNNNNNNNNNNCUGUGUUGGUUGUGUCUCAGAUAGAGCUGAGGGUUAUAUACUGUGUUGGUUGUGUCUCAGAUAGAGCUGAGGGUUAUAUACUGUGUUGGUUGUGUCUCAGAUAGAGCUGAGGGUUAUGUCCUGUGGUGGUUGUUUCUCAGAGCUGAUGGUUAUGUACUGUAUUUUGGUUCGUGUUGCUGAGAGAGAUGAUGAGUGUGUCGUGUGUUGGUUGUUGCAGAGAGAGAGAGCUUAUUCGUAUGUCCUGUGUGCCAAUAGAACUGUGUUUUUGAUGAUUGAAAUUGUGUACUUACGUUUGUAUUCUGUUUCAUUUGUUCCCAGGGGGGAAGGGGAAGGCACCUAGGGAGUGUUUAGGCAAGAGGCCUGCGGGUAUACAUAUACCCAUAGUAUAUUCACUGUCUAGGCACACUAGGUAAGACCUGGGCGGACCACCCUCUGUAUUUUGGUUAGUGCACCAGGUGGUGCUAGUUAGGUAAGUAGUGGGUAGGCAGGUAAGGUAGGAGAGGGGGCUUUGAUAUGUACUUUCUUUGCUUUGGUUCCGUCCAGCCCCCUUUUCCCCAAAAUGACCUUGUGAUGGAAUAAAUUCCUAGUAAACAGUAAAUGAUCUGCCUCUUGUCAUCCUUACUCGCACCUACAGUCCCAUACCUCUUUCACUCCACCUACAGUCCCAUACCUCUUUCACUCCACCUACAGUCCCAUACCUCUUUCACUCCACCUACAGUCCCAUACCUCUUUCACUCCACCUACAGUCCCAUACCUCUUUCACUCCACCUACAGUCCCAUACCUCUUUCACUCCACGGGGAGUUGAGUUGUAGCAGGGCGUUGCGUUCCCUCUUCCUAGCAGUCUCUCCCAUCAUUCUCCUUUGCAGGCUCUCCAGCAAUCUCUCUCCAGCAACAUCACACCCAGUGAACAUUUCACUCUCUAACAUACUGUACACACACACACACACUUAUUUUUACACAUCUGAACACACACCACCCCCAGUGAUGUGAGAAUUACACACAUAUUUUUGUAGGAAGGCACACCACCCCUGCAGAGAUUAUACACGUGAACAUGCACACCAACUCUCUAGUAAGACUUCUAAAUUGUAGAAACACACACAUACAGGCACAUUAACCCUGCUGAGACAAUCUAGAUCUGCUAUCUUCAUUUGAUCUCUGUUUUUCUGCACAGCAGGAAAUGCAAAUUGUAGUGUAGUCAAUGUUUAAAAAUGCUUUUAACGUUUGUAAUUUCCACUUGAAAAUGUCAGACUUCAACAACCCCAAUCUGUUUCAGCCUUUUGGAAUUGAUGAAUGACCAGUUUUAUGGUCUGUGUUGUUUGGGAUACAUGUGAUUUAUGUGUUCACUGUAGGUAACUUAAAAACAUCUGCUAAAUUACGCUAUGUGUUUAGGCUGUCACAUAUAGUGCCUGCAGAAGGUAUUCAUAGUGUACCCCUUGACUUAGCCCACAUUUUGAUGUUGCAGUCUGAAUUCAAAAUAGAUUCAAUUAAAAUAAUAAUCUCACCAACCUACACACAAUACCCCAUAAUGACAAAGUGAAAACAUGUUUUUUGAAAUGUUUGCAAAUGUAUUGAAAAUUAAAUAUCAAAUUUACAUAAGUAUUCACACCUCUGAGUCAAUACAUGUUAAAAUCAACUUUGGCAGCAAUUACAGCUGUGUCUUUCUGGGUAAGUCUAAGAGCUUUGCACACCUGAAUUGUACAAUAUUUGCACAUUAUUCUUUGGAAAAUUCUUCAAACGCUGUCAAGUUGGUUGUUGAGCAUUGCUAGACAGCCAUUUUCAAGUUAUGCCAUAGAUUUUCAAGCAAAUUUGAAGUCCCAAUUGUAACUAUGUCAUUUAGGAAUAUGCAAUGUUGUAUUGGUAAGCAAUUCCAGUGUAUAUUUGGCAUUUGUUUAGGUUAUUGUCCUGCUGAAAGGUGAAUUGGUCUCCCAAUGUCUGUUAGAAAAAAGAUUUAACCAGGUUUUCCUCCAGGAUUUUGCCAGUGGUUAGCUCUAUUACAUGUAUUUUUAUCCUAAAAAACUCCCUAGUCCUUACCAAUGGCAAGCAUACCCAUAACAUGAUGCAGCCACCACCAUGCUUGAAAAUAGGAAGAGUGGUACUCAGUGAUGGUGUGUUGGUCAUGUAGUGUAUUUCGAAACAGAAGCAGCCUAACAAAGUUUCAAUUGAACAAGUUGGGAUAAGUAGAGACAGAAGUCUGUUGGUUCUAAACACCACCAGAUAUUAUGAAUGAUUUGGAAUGCUCAAACAAAUAUCUGUCAAGCAUACAUCCACUGGAGAGAGAGAGAAGGCAAGGUUUUUCAUCUCAGCAACAUGUACAAUGUUUUCCCAAUCAAAGAUUUGAAGUUAAAGAAAUCAAAUAGCGUCCAUCCUCUAUCGUACUGGUUCUCCUUAGAGUGAUGAUACGCGAGUAUGGGGAAAGUAAACAUUUAAGAGAGAGGAGAUGGUGUGUGUGUUUGUGUGGAUGCGUUUUAAAAACAUUUGACCAACUGGGGACAUUUUGUUAGUCCCCCAAAAGGUAAAAUGCUAUUUCUUAAGGUUAAGGUUAGAAUUAGUGUUAUGGUUAGAAUUACGUUAAGGGUUAGGGUAAGGAGCUAGUGUUACUUUUAGGGUUAGGAGCUAGUGUUACUUUUAGGGUUAGGAGCUAGUGAUAGGUUUAGGGUUAGGGUUAAGGUUAGGUUUUUUGGUUUAGGGUUUUUGGUUAUGGUAAGACUACGGGUUAGGGUUAGGUAAGACUACGGGUUAGGGGUAAGGGAAAAUAGGAUUUUGAAUGGAACUGAAUUGAGUGUCCCCGCAAGGUUAGCUGUUCAAGUCUGUGUGUGUGUGUGUGUGAGC